rnacentral:lncRNA from 1 species
UGCAUCAGUAUCCUUUGACUUCUCCACCUAUUCAGUGAAGGUUUUUGGUUUUGUUUAAACAAGGAGAAGAUACUUAGUAUCUUUUCUGGGAAAAGGGGAGGAAAUAGACAAAAAGAAAGAAGCAAGAUGAUAGGCUGGGAAAUAGAAGAGGCACUCCCGCAGGGUACCUAUGCUAGAGCAAAAGGUGUUUUCCUAAAUAUGUCAGGGGAAGGGACAGUGGGCCCUAGGAAGGGAAUGAAGAGGAUGCCAGAGGAAAGAUUUUAAGAAGCAUUGCUAUGGAUUUUGUUUAUCACUUUUGAGUUCUAGAAAAAAAUUAAUUUCAAUAAGAAAAGUUAUGACUGCUUAUUGUUAAAAAUUCAAACAGUACCAAAGAUGACAUCAUAGGUAAAACCUGCCUAUUCCCCCAACCCAUUCUCUCAAGCCAUUUGCAAGUGCCAUUUCCCAGAAAUAACUGCUAUUACAGCUAGCAUAAUUGCAGAUCAUAUUCAUAUAAAUAUUAGCAUAUAUGCAAAUAUAUAAACAUUUUAAACAAAAGAGAUAAUUAUGUAUUUUGAAGUUUUGCAAUCUUUUAGACAAUAUAACAGCAUAUUUUCAGGUCAGUAGACAUAUAUUUAUUUUUCAAUUAGCCCUAUGGCAUUGUAUUUGAUUGAGAUUCUCUAUUUAUAAAUAUGGUUCACUAUUGAUGGGAAUUUAUUACAAUAUUUCCAAGAACAUCUUUUUACCCAUGUCUAACUACAUUUGUGUAAACAUUUUUGUGGACUAGGACCUUAGAAACUGGUUUUCUGGAUCAUAGAGAAUGCACAUUAUGUUUUUUUUUUUCAUAGUGUUUGCCAAAUAGUCCUCCAAAAAUGUGUCACAGUACUCUGUGAAGGGCUUGAGAAUGAAUGUUUUCCACAUCCUCAUUGGCUCUGUCAUCAAAGGUGUCCCAUUUCUGGACUGGAAACUCUUAGAACAAGGAGCAACAUAUACAUCUCUGUACUUUUUCAAGGCAAGGAUCGUAUCUCAGACAAGUUCCCAAGCCUGAUGCCCAGUGCAGUAAGUGAUUCCUAUUUAAAUGAGAAACACAUUGUCACUUUAUAGAAGUAACCAAUGAUAAAUAUUAAAUGAGCACCUUCUGGACCAAAGGGCCUGUUUUCUCUUAAUCAACUUUUAAGUUAAUGUAAAACCAGCUGUUAUUUUUUGUGUGUUUCUGUAUUCAGCUUGCAUUAGUGUUAUUCUGUGACAGAUGCUUUGAGAAAUGAAAGAGAACGAGUGAUCCUUGCCUAUAAAAAUCUUCUACUCUGUCUUAAAAGAAAGUAGAUGAAAUGCAUUCUCCUUUCUAAUCUUUGGAAAUGGCACCUAGCUGUGUUCUUAGAUAAAUAAUGUAUUUUUUCAAAAAAUGAAUAAAUGAAUAAAAGUAAGAAUCA